GGGAGUGGGUUCGUAACUUUCCUCUCCGGUGUCGUCUCACACGUCAUGCUCGGCUACACUGUGGUGGUUGCCAUUCUAGCUUACUUCUUGCUUUUCAGUGGCUUCUUCAUCAACCGUGACCGAAUUCCAGACUACUGGAUUUGGUUUCAUUAUCUGUCACUGGUGAAGUAUCCAUACGAGGCUGUUUUGCAGAAUGAGUUUGGGGAUGCAAGCAAGUGUUUUGUGAGGGGAGUGCAGAUGUU
rnacentral:misc_RNA from 1 species